AACGAACGCUGGCGGCAUGCCUAACACAUGCAAGUCGAACGAAACCUUCGGGUCUUGUGGCGCCCGGGUGCGUCACGCGUGGGAACCUGCCCUUAGGUUCGGCAUAACUCCCCGACAGGGGUGCUAAUACCGGAUCAUGUCUUCGGCCCAAAGAUUUAUCGCCUUUGGUUGGGCCCGCGUUGGAUUCGCUAGUUGGUAGGGUAAAAGCCUACCAAGGCGACGAUCCAUAGCUGGUCUGAGAGGAUGAUCAGCCACACUGGGACUGAGACACGGCCCAGACUCCUACGGGAGGCAGCAGUGGGGAAUAUUGGACAAUGGGCGAAAGCCUGAUCCAGCAAUGCCGGGUGAGUGAUGAAGGCCGGAGGGUUGUAAAGCUCUUUUAACCGGGAUGAUAAUGACAGUACCGGGAGAAUAAGCGCCGGCUAACUCCGUG
rnacentral:rRNA from 1 species